GAUGAACGCUGGCGGCGUGCCUAAUACAUGCCAGUCGAGCGAACAGACGAGGAGCUUGCUCCUCUGACGUUAGCGGCGGACGGGUGAGUAACACGUGGAUAACCUACCUAUAAGACUGGGAUAACUUUGGGAAACCGGAGCUAAUACCGGAUAAUAUAUUGAACCGCAUGGUUCAAUAGUGAAAGACGGUUUUGCUGUCACUUAUAGAUGGAUCCGCGCCGCAUUAGCUAGUUGGUAAGGUAACAGCUUACCAAGGCAACGAUGCGUAGCCGACCUGAGAGGGUGAUCGGCCACACUGGAACUGAGACACGGUCCAGACUCCUACGGGAGGCAGCAGUAGGGAAUCUUCCGCAAUGGGCGAAAGCCUGACGGAGCAACGCCGCGUGAGUGAUGAAGGUCUUCGGAUCGUAAAACUCUGUUAUUAGGGAAGAACAAAUGUGUAAGUAACUAUGCACGUCUUGACGGUACCUAAUCAGAAAGCCACGGCUAACUACGUG
rnacentral:rRNA from 1 species